GACGAACGCUGGCGGCGUGCUUAACACAUGCAAGUCGAACGGGCCUGUCUUCUUUUUUGGGGGUGGGUUGAGUGGCGAACGGGUGAGUAUCACGUGAGUAACCUGCCCUUCGGUCCUGGAUAACCGCUUGAAAGGGCGGCUAAUACGGGGUGGUCCGGUUGGUCCGCAUGGGCUGGUCGGGAUAGAUUCACUGUUUUUGGUGUUUCGGCGGGGGAUGGGCUCGCGGCCUAUCAGCUUGUUGGUGGGGUGAUGGCCUACCAAGGCGGUGACGGGUAGCCGGGCUGAGAGGGUGGGGGGCCAAACUGGGACUGAGAUACGGCCCAGACUCCUGCGGGAGGCAGCAGUGGGGGGUAUUGCACAAUGGGCGGAAGCCUGAUGCAGCGACGUCGCGUGAGGGAUGGAGGCCUUCGGGUUGUGAACCUCUGUUUCCGGUGGUGAAGGCCCUGUCCGUGUGGUGGGGUUGACGGUAGCCGGGGAUGAAGCGCCGGCUAACUACGUG
rnacentral:rRNA from 1 species